AGAGUUUGAUCAUGGCUCAGGACGAACGCUGGCGGCGUGCCUAACACAUGCAAGUCGAGCGAAGAAUACCUAAAGAAAUCUUCGGAUGGAAUUUUGUAUUUCUUAGCGGCGGACGGGUGAGUAACGCGUGAGGAACCUGCCUUGCACAAGGGGAUAGCCUCGGGAAACCGGGAUUAAUACCCUAUGACACUUAAAAUUCGCAUGGAAAUUAAGUUAAAGCGUAAAGCGGUGCAAGAUGGUCUCGCGUCCCAUUAGCUAGUUGGUGAAGUAAAAGCUCACCAAGGCCACGAUGGGUAGCCGGCCUGAGAGGGUGAACGGCCACACUGGAACUGAGACACGGUCCAGACUCCUACGGGAGGCAGCAGUGGGGAAUAUUGCACAAUGGAGGAAACUCUGAUGCAGCGACGCCGCGUGAGCGAUGAAAGGUUUUCGGAUCGUAAAAGCUCUGUCCUAAGGGACGAUAAAUGACGGUACCUUAGGAGGAAAGCCCCGGCUAACUACGUGCCAGGCAGCCCGCGGUAAUACGUAAGGGGGCGAGCGUUGUCCGGGAUUUAAUGGGCGUAAAGGGUGCGUAGGCGGUCUUGUAAGUUAGAUGUGGAAUCUCACGGGCUUAACCGGUGGUAAGCCAUUUUGAAACUGCAGGGCCUGAGUACAGGAGAGGAGAGUGGAAUUCCUAGUGUAGCGGUGAAAUGCGUAGAUAUUAGGAGGAAUACCAGUGGCGAAGGCGGCUCUCUGGACUGUAACUGACGCUGAGGCACGAAAGCGUGGGGAGCAAACAGGAUUAGAUACCCUGGUAGUCCACGCUGUAAACGAUGAGUGCUAGGUGUCGGGGGUCAAACCUCGGUGCCGCAGUUAACACAUUAAGCACUCCGCNUGGGGAGUACGGUGGCAACACUGAAACUCAAAGGAAUUGACGGGGACCCGCACAAGCAGCGGAGCAUGUGGUUUAAUUCGAUGCAACGCGAAGAACCUUACCAGGGCUUGACAUCCCCCGGACCGAACUAGAGAUAGUUCUUUCCCUUCGGGGACUGGGGAGACAGGUGGUGCAUGGUUGUCGUCAGCUCGUGUCGUGAGAUGUUGGGUUAAGUCCCGCAACGAGCGCAACCCUUGCCUUUAGUUGCAAACAGUCUAGCUGUGCACUCUAGAGGGACUGCCGAUGACAAAUCGGAGGAAGGUGGGGAUGACGUCAAAUCAUCAUGCCCUUUAUGUCCUGGGCUACACACGUGCUACAAUGGUCGGUACAACGGGUAGCCACCUCGCGAGAGGGAGCCAAUCCCACAAAGCCGACCUCAGUUCGGAUUGUAGGCUGCAACCCGCCUACAUGAAGCCGGAGUUGCUAGUAAUCGCGGAUCAGAAUGUCGCGGUGAAUGCGUUCCCGGGUCUUGUACACACCGCCCGUCACACCAUGGGAGUUGACAAUACCCGAAGUCGGUGAGCUAACCGUAAGGAGGCAGCUGCCGAAGGUAGGGUCAAUGACUGGGGUGAAGUCGUAACAAGGUAACC
rnacentral:rRNA from 1 species